GACGAACGCUGGCGGCGUGCUUAACACAUGCAAGUCGAACGGAAAGGCCCUGCUUUUGUGGGGUGCUCGAGUGGCGAACGGGUGAGUAACACGUGAGUAACCUGCCCUUGACUUUGGGAUAACUUCGGGAAACUGGGGCUAAUACCGGAUAGGAGCUCCUGCUGCAUGGUGGGGGUUGGAAAGUUUCGGCGGUUGGGGAUGGACUCGCGGCUUAUCAGCUUGUUGGUGGGGUAGUGGCUUACCAAGGCUUUGACGGGUAGCCGGCCUGAGAGGGCGACCGGCCACAUUGGGACUGAGAUACGGCCCAGACUCCUACGGGAGGCAGCAGUGGGGAAUAUUGCACAAUGGGCGGAAGCCUGAUGCAGCAACGCCGCGUGCGGGAUGACGGCCUUCGGGUUGUAAACCGCUUUCGCCUGUGACGAAGCGUGAGUGAUGGUAAUGGGUAAAGAAGCACCGGCUAACUACGUGCCAGCAGCCGCGGUGAUACGUAGGGUGCGAGCGUUGUCCGGAUUUAUUGGGCGUAAAGGGCUCGUAGGUGGUUGAUCGCGUCGGAAGUGUAAUCUUGGGGCUUAACCCUGAGCGUGCUUUCGAUACGGGUUGACUUGAGGAAGGUAGGGGAGAAUGGAAUUCCUGGUGGAGCGGUGGAAUGCGCAGAUAUCAGGAGGAACACCAGUGGCGAAGGCGGUUCUCUGGGCCUUUCCUGACGCUGAGGAGCGAAAGCGUGGGGAGCGAACAGGCUUAGAUACCCUGGUAGUCCACGCUGUAAACGGUGGGUACUAGGUGUGGGGUCCAUUCCACGGGUUCCGUGCCGUAGCUAACGCUUUAAGUACCCCGCCUGGGGAGUACGGCCGCAAGGCUAAAACUCAAAGGAAUUGACGGGGCCCCGCACAAGCGGCGGAGCAUGCGGAUUAAUUCGAUGCAACGCGUAGAACCUUACCUGGGUUUGACAUGGAUCGGGAGCGCUCAGAGAUGGGUGUGCCUCUUUUGGGGUCGGUUCACAGGUGGUGCAUGGCUGUCGUCAGCUCGUGUCGUGAGAUGUUGGGUUAAGUCCCGCAACGAGCGCAACCCUUGUUCACUGUUGCCAGCACGUUAUGGUGGGGACUCAGUGGAGACCGCCGGGGUCAACUCGGAGGAAGGUGGGGAUGACGUCAAGUCAUCAUGCCCCUUAUGUCCAGGGCUUCACGCAUGCUACAAUGGCUGGUACAGAGAGUGGCGAGCCUGUGAGGGUGAGCGAAUCUCGGAAAGCCGGUCUCAGUUCGGAUUGGGGUCUGCAACUCGACCUCAUGGAGUCGGAGUCGCUAGUAAUCGCAGAUCAGCAACGCUGCGGUGAAUACGUUCCCGGGGCU
rnacentral:rRNA from 1 species